GGAUUCAGGUCAACCAGCAAGAGAAAGCAUUCCAGACCACAGGAAGAGCAUGACAUAGCAUCAGAGCCCUGAAAGAACAAGGCCCCUUGGUGCCGGGUGCACAAGACAUCUGCAAGGGAGUAGCAGAGACCGAGGAGGAGGAAGAGAUGGAAGGAGAUGGUGGGGGCCGUGAUAAGCUUUGUCUGAGUACAACAUCCAG
rnacentral:lncRNA from 1 species